rnacentral:rRNA from 1 species
GCCGUAAAAGUAUUAAAGGUCCCACCUGCCCAGUGACAAAGUUUUAAACGGCCGCGGUAUCCUAACCAUGCAAAGGUAGCGUAAUCACUUGUCCCCUAAAUAGGGACUAGUAUGAAUGGUUAAAUGAGGACAAACCUGGCUCUUGUGGACAAUCAGUGAAACUAAACUUCCAAGUACAAAUGCUGGAAUACACAUAUAAGACGAGAAGACCCUGCAGCACUUUCAAACUACCUUCAAACAAUAAAUUAAACAAGAGUUUUCAGUUGGGGUGACUUUAGAACAAAACCAAACUUCUGAGCAUCUAGAGCACCACCUCUUGCAGUGGCCAACCAGCCAAAGCACCCAUAACCCCUGACCCGGAUCUGCUAAUAAACAAACCAAGUUACCCCAAGGAUAACAGCACUAUCUUCUUUAAGAGUGCAGCCACUAUUAAUGGUUCAUUUGUUCAAUGAUUAACCGUCCUACGUUAUCUGAGUUCAGACUGGAGCAAUCCAGGUCGGUUUCUAUCUA